rnacentral:tRNA from 1 species
GGCCAGUUAGCUCAGUCAGUUGAGCGUGGUGCUGAUAACACCAAGGUCGUGGGUUCGAUCUCCGUUCAGUCCC